rnacentral:rRNA from 1 species
GACGAACGCUGGCGGCGUGCUUAACACAUGCAAGUCGAACGGAAAGGCCCCUUCGGGGGUCCUCGAGUGGCGAACGGGUGAGUAACACGUGAGUAACCUGCCCUUGACUUCGGGAUAACUUCAGGAAACUGGGGCUAAUACCGGAUAGGAAUCCUUGCUGCAUGGUGGGGGUUGGAAAGCUUCGGCGGUUUUGGAUGGACUGGCGGCUUAUCAGCUUGAUGGUGGGGUAGUGGCUUACCAAGGCUUUGACGGGUAGCCGGCCUGAGAGGGCGACCGGCCACAUUGGGACUGAGAUACGGCCCAGACUCCUACGGGAGGCAGCAGUGGGGAAUAUUGCACAAUGGGCGGAAGCCUGAUGCAGCAACGCCGCGUGCGGGAUGACGGGCUUCGGGUUGUAAACCGCUUUCAGCAGGGGCGAAGCUUGUGGUGACGGUACCUGCAGAAGAAGCACCGGCUAACUACGUG